GAAAAUGGUUUGCAGUUCUGGAGGAUUCACAAAGCUUGAAGUCCUCAAGUUCUGGGAGCUGGAAUCUCUGGAGGAAUGGGAUGUGAAGGAAGGGGCAUUACCAAGCCUAAAAGACUUGGAGAUCAGAUCCUGCGGAAAUUUGCAGAUGCUUCCUGACGGACUGAAGCUUGUUAGGACUCUCCGAGAAUUAAAGUUAACAAGACAGCCAGAGUUAUCUUCAAGGAUUAGGGAUAAUCAGGGUGAGGACAGGAACAAAAUUAUCCAUGCAAGACAUGUCUACAUAGAAGAUUGAUUAUACAAUGAGAGUAUUAGUACUCCUCUGCUAUCCAUAACCUUCCAUUUAUUUAAUUUAUGGCUUUUGGUAUGUUUUAUCAAGCAACAAUUAUGUUACAAUCUUCAUUUCCAUCUACUGUAAAGGGCUUUUUUCUUGGAUUCAUGAUCUUGUGCAGAACUAAAUGUUGAUGAAACAAGGG
rnacentral:misc_RNA from 1 species